CUCAAAGAUUAAGCCGCAAGUGGUUAUAUUAACCCGACAGUUUAAAUAAGUGUUAAAUGCUACCAUUAAACUUAUCGAUAUAUCACGAUAGACCGAUUUUGUUUACGACGGCAGUAACAAUUUCAGCGUGUUAUCACCCAUCACAGUGAAUCACUGAAAUUUACCCUACAUUCAGUAUCACUUACGCAACUGCAGACAGCUGCUUAAUACAGUCACACUUGUCUUGACUUGGCGCAAUAAAAAUUUUCAUUGAAACACCCUCUCUUCAUUGCGGGGGCAGAUCGGUGAUCAUUUUUGUUUUGUUGCAUUCACGCAUACAAAAUUUUUUUGAUUUCUCUGUAUCGCUUAUUCUUUAAGGACAUUGCGUUACACCGUGACAAUUUUUUCUUUAUGGAUAACUCAGGGAAAGUUUGGCUAAUACGUACGAGUAUAUUUUAUUUUUACUACACAUACGCACAUACAUUCAGAUUAAUUUUUGUAUCGCUGUGUAUCAACUACUACUCAGCACUCAAUGGUAAACUUUGGCUGCGCUUGCGCGGUCAGUUUAAAGUUUAACUGCAACAUGAGAGACAUUGAGCACGCACGUGUUGCGUCUUCGGACGCUUCACGUCACGCUGAGCAGACUUUGCGAAGUUUACUUUGCGAAGCAUGUCAUACAAGCAUCUACAGCAUCAAGUCACAGGGUUGGCAAGUGUAUUUUUGAACCUUCAAAGCAGUCACGCAUACGGAAGAGUAGUUUCUGAUCCCAUAGAAGGAGCACCGUACAAUGAGAGACCGCUCUUAGUUCUAAGGAACGCAGCAGGCGCGUAAAUUGCCCAAUGCUAGUACCCUACAAUUCAAAUUGUAUUUACAUGCGUUACACAAUUUACAACAUUAUUACAAGUUUUUAAUGACAGUACAUUAUAACACUUUCAUUUUUUCUGUUAUCAUUACACAUAUAUCCUUGUUCGUUGUACUUUCAGCAUAUAUAGUAUUAAUUUAUUAUUUUACUGAGGCAGUGACAAGCUGUAACGGUUGAGUAUAAAAAUGACGAGUGUCUGGCAUUGCCGCUCUUUCGGGAGCUUGGCAAGUUGCCGACGCUUUGUGUGCUCAAUUGGAAUGCGGUGAGUUUAAGCAACUCAGAACCUUUGGACGGUGUUAGUAAAAUUUCACUGUUUAUGUAUCUGAAUUUCAAGUGGAGGGCAAGUCUGGUGC
rnacentral:rRNA from 1 species